rnacentral:lncRNA from 1 species
AAGUGUCAUCUUCAGAUUGUGUUUGUACAAGAUUAUGUAGUAAAUUUAAUCAAAAUAAUGUGAAGUAUUUUAUCGAUGAUUUCUUAUACCAUGCAAAGGAACAUAAGAUCCUGGCUAUCACGCAAUCUGUUCUGGUGAUAAACAUCAAUUUUUAAGACAAAUUCCUGUUGGUAAACUCAUAUGAUCUUUUGUAAUAGUUUGUCGUUGUUGUAGUUUUUAACAACAUCACUUAUGUGCUUAUAUGUUAGUUACCUGAAAGAAAGGGAUAGAACACUUCAUAGAAACAGCAUCAAUUACUCGUAUCCUUAAAUUCAUGAGUUUGGAAGGAUCAAAAUAAUCAAGUUUUAAAUGAUUGCAUUUAAUUGAGUGGAAGUUAGUUAAGUAGCAUGUAUUUACGCACGGAGUUGAAUGAAUUUGGAUUUACAAUAAGUUUUAUUCAAAUAAUAUAUAAUGUUGAAUGAAUGAGUUGUCCAACAUUAAAUAAAUUAAAUCGUUAAGGCUAUUAAAGAAUAGCAUUUCAUCGAAGGAAUUAACCAUUUCGAUUCCUGAAAAUUAUUUAUGUGAAGAAGCUCUAUUAACAGAAGAAAGUAAAUAAUAUCUAUAAAGAAAUAUAGCUACUCUGAUCAAUUUUGAGAAAAAGAUUUAUUUAAGGACUUAUAGAGCACUUUUCAAGCCUUCUACCUGCAUCAAUCUUGUCUACCUCAUACUCUCCUUCAACCUUAAAUCUGUUUCUUACCUAGAGUCCUCUAUCAACCUUAAAUCUGUUUCUUACCUCAAGCCCCUCUACUAUUUUGAAUCUGUUUCGUACCUCAAGCCUUCCUAUAUUUAAUCAGCUUCCUUAUUGCUUAACAAAAUGAUGGGGACAUCUUCUAGCAAAAAUACUUUGAAGAGAUUUGGUGAUGUUGUUGAAUUAAAAAUGGAGUAACAUUGUACAAAGUCAAUUAACGUUUUACCAUUUGAUUUUUAACCAUAAAAAUACACACGCCCCUACAUGAGAUUUCUAUUGGAUCACAUAUUGAAAUACCAGAAAAUGAUCAUUACCUUCAUCGUUCAAAGAUUUGGAGGGCCACUUAUUUGCAUUUGAAAAAAAAAAAAAAAAAAUGAUUGAUUAAGGCAAGAAAUAUUAUCAUUAUUGAAAAAUGUGUUUCUUCAACACAAAAUCAUGUGGAGGAACGAAGAAGUCCUUAAGUUAUAAAACCAUAAAUAAAAACUUUUUCAAUUAAUGGAAAUUGAAAUGGCAUCAAUUUUAACAAGUACUCGCGAGAAAAAUAAGUUAGUCGACCAAUUAAACUAUUAGGAACAUCGAAAGAAUGCCAAUGGCAUGAAAACUUAUUGGCGAUGCAAAAUUACAUAUAGCAAAGCUAUAUAUGUAUAUGUAUACGAAAAGGAGUUCCAAACUAAGUAAUAAGAAAUUGAGGCAAUUGUUGAUCACCAAAUGGAAUGAAUGUUUUGUUAUCAUUUAAUUGUCAGCACAUUUCGUGCCAAAGUUAUCUAUUUAUUCUAUAUGGUCAGUGGGCACUAAGAAGUUACGAGUACACUUCCUGUAA